UCUCGGCUCCUGCAGAUGGAUGUAGGCAGCCGCAUCACGUUUUCCUCACAACUCCAUGGAGUAUGAAAUGCAAAAGCAGCAGCGUGACGUGCAAUUACUUACUAAAUCACUGCUUUGCCAUUGCAUUGGGCACGUGCUGAGAUUACAGCCUGAGCCAAUACUGGUCUCCCUUAGUUACACCUGUACCAUAGAGUUUGACAGCGGGACAGGAGUCUUUCAUGUCACUAAUAGUAGAGUCCCGUCGCGUAAGACGUACUCCAGCUUCUGAUUGGACAGAGAUAAGGGACUAGUACCCUGAAUUCUCAUUGGCUACCCGCAGUGACUCCAACAAGUGUCUGAGUGUGGUUGCUGCUGCACCGGGGAACGGCACAGGUUACUGCCCCAGCGCUGACAUGAAUUCCCGGCACUGAAAAAAUGGCCAGAAUGACCAAAGGUCUGUUUUACAACACAGAAACCUGUACUGUAGCCCCUGAAUAGCAAUUCGCUGGUGUUAGAGCUCUGUGUAUGAGGCCCCUCUCCCGUUCAGACACGCAAGUUAAGAAGCGACAGGAGACACUACUACAUGGCCAUAUUCUGCCCUAGAGUGACCCGAACAGGGUCCUGGUGAACAAGCGAAUAGCGGCAGGCGGAGGACUUGCAGGACCGGGAACAAGAAACGGUGUAGGAGAGAUCAUUUGAGUUCCGACAGGGCUCCAUACAGCAAGAGCCGACAGCACUAACAGGUCCACGACACAAGCUGUGAUCAAGAACUUUUCCACUGCGUUUUCUUCCCUGCAUUUAUCACUUUACUAUUCUUCCAACAUAACAGAACGGCCUAUGACUUUGUGGCUGGUACCAUUGUUGUAAGAAGGAAUGGGAGAUGAUCCAAGCAGUAUAGCAGCUUGUGGUUUGUUUACAUCUAGAUUGUAUUUGGGAGAGAGUUCAUUCCAAGGGCUUAAACAAUCAGUACUACAAGAGAGGAGUAUUAUUUAGCAGCCUUACAGAAGGUAAUAUGGGAGCUUUGCUGUGUAACCACUAUAUCAAAAUGGCAAAUGUAUGACUUGUGGUUUCAGCUCCAUGUGAACUAUAUAUUUUUUUUUAUAAGAUAGUGUGCAUUCUGCAUUCCCCUGAAUAUUAAAUACAGCAUAUAUACUUUAUUUGCAACUUUGAGGCAAAUUAUUAGACUUGCUCCAAAAAAUUGCUUUCAUUAAUAAGACGCAGCUUGAGUCAUUCUGCAUGAGCAACCCAGUCAGUGUACUCCUCACUCAUGUCUCAUUCUUUAACGACUGAAUGGCUUUAAUGAAAGAAUCCCUUGUGUCCACUACCCAACCACAUCACUGCUGCUGAAGAAAACUCUACUGGCCCCUUGUAUGUGGUCUAGAAAGUUGCCCAGCAAAGUUGGUGGCUGCCAAAUUGGGCCUGAUUAGGCUUCUUGGCUAUCCCAAGAAAACAAACUGGUCCUGGCUUCAUUUAGGCACACUGCUGAUAGUGUGUAAUAUGAUGUGGGCACUUCGUAGGAAUGACAGCUGAAGAUUUAGGCCAAAACUCUAGUUGGACUGUAUCCAGGGCUAUGAGUAGGUGCCCAUUUUGGGAUGAAACACUUUAGGCUAAUGCAUGUCCUAAUAAAGAUUUUUUUUUAAUUUUUAACAUUAUUUGGACUACUUUUUCACUAACAGUGGAUCUCUUCCCAUCUUUUGCUGUUGAUUUACUCAACAAAACUCUCCAUACCAGUUUAAUAAACACUCUUUCUGACCCAAAAAUAAACGUGAGUAAUCAAAUGACUUUUCCUGAGAAUUUCAUUAAGCUAUUUUCUAAACUUUAGCAGUGCAUCAAUAGAAAUGACAUGUAUGUACAGGUAAAAAAAGUAUGGGUUUUGUAUUUUCACAACUGAAUUGUAUUUUCUUCAAGUAUAAUAAUAAACUAAUUUAUUUUAAGAUAA